rnacentral:tRNA from 1 species
GCCCAGGUAGCUCAGCUGGUAGAGCAGUGGACUGAAAAUCCGCGUGUCGGUGGUUCGAAUCCGCCCCUGGGCA